rnacentral:lncRNA from 1 species
AAAAAUAAAACAUUUUUAUCUUCUCUCUCUUCUUCCACUUCUUCUUCCUCUUAUUCUCUCUUCUUCCGCCACCACCUCCUUCACCUCCUCCACCGCCUCUUCUUCUCUCUGUUCUUCCACCACCACCUCCUGCACCUCUUCCACCGCCUCUUCUUCUCUCUUUUUCCAUCACCACCGCCUUCGCCUCCUCCACCACCUCUUCUUCCUCUUUCUCUCUCUUCUUCCACCACCACCACGGAUUGUGUAAAAUCGGAAACGAAAAACCACCGCCGGGAGAGUCGGUAAGCGGCCUUCCUGACGCCGACAAGCGUUGUUGUUGUCGGUGGUGAUGGAACCCCUUGGACAAAAAAUAAUUUUCGUGGAUUGAUGAGGAUGAGCUCAACCUUUGUUGAUGAUUGGGAAUUUCUCUAAUAAUCUUUGUAUUUGUCCUAAAUUUUGAUUUUGAUUCUGUUGAUGAUGAUGGUGACGUUGUUUUGGAUUCAGAGAUUACUACUAAUUCCUCAACUUGAACGAAUUUUUAGAUUUGUUCUUCCAUUUUUUUAGAUCUGUUCUUACAUUUUUUUUAAUUCCCAUCAUUUUUUAGAUCUGUUCUUCGAUAAGGGUGGAAGGAUGUGGAUGGCGAGGAGGUGGCGACGAUGGUGAAGAGGGGGAUUUAGGCGGCAGAGGGUGGUGGCCACGGGAGGGUGAGUCUGUGAGAGAUUUGGGAUCUGAGUUUAGUUGGAUUUUGGUUCAGUAAAAUUAAGGGUAUUUCGUGAUAGAGAGCGAAAGUGAUGGGAAGAUGAAGUUUUUUUUAGAUAUGUUAUUUCAUAUGUAAUUUGAUUGAUUUAAUGAAUUAAAAUUUUAAUUGUUGUAUAUUAUUAUUUUGUUG